GACGGGGCUGUCGCGGCCGAUUGGUGGGGGAGGUGGGGGCACAACUGGUGGUGUUCUUUAUGGCGAUUGGCGGAGAAAUGAGAACAUCCUCCACCAGUUGAACCACGAGUUCACUGCACCGAUUGGCUUCGCGGUGCCCUACCACCACUGAGCCGAGGUCCUCAUCGUCGGCUCGCCGGUAUUCCUCUGCCCCGCCGUCGUCCCCGGCCACAUCGUCACCUUCUGGCUCUGGCUCUGGAUGAUCCUCCACCAGAGACACGCUGCGCUAUGACUUCCCCCAAACUCCUACAAAAUACAUCCCUUUCUAUGGAGGAGCAGAGUGUCAUGAUUAUCAUCAUUAUGUUAGAGGGCAAAGCAAAGUUACGGUAACUUUGCAUUAGUUUUUACCUACUGCGAUUACAUAUAUGGAACAGACAAGGGAUACAGAUAUCAGAAAGAACACCUUGCAAGGAUGCUUGAGGUGAAAAUGAUGGAUAUUGUUAUAGCUGCUCUGCCACAACCUUGCACCGCUGGAGAUGGCAAUCAGCAUUAUGUAUCAAUCUCAAUUACUAUCAGUACAUAUGCUUGUGUCCUGAAAACAGCAAUUCUUCAUGUUGAUCUUUUCCUUUUAAUUUAAAGGUAAAAAGUUUUCUGCAGAGAUCAUGUAUCCUUGAGUUUCUUUUGGUUAUGUACUGUGAGAGGAAGCUGCACAACUUAAAACUUUUUGCAUGUGAACACAGUAGUGGUGGUUGAAAAUUGAAAUGCACAUAUUUGCCUUCCAGUUCACUUCAUCACUGCCCCUCGGUGCUUAUCGCUACUACCAUAGUCUCCAUGUUGCAACCUUAUCUUAUUAUGAUUUUUUCCGGUAGCUUCGAAGCGACUUCAGUUUGCUGAUAGUUUUGAGCCAAAAUACACUGUAGCUGUGUACAGCACUCAAAAGUAGGUCUCUUUUGAAAAGGUUGAAGGCCCGGUGAUCGUUGUCCAGAGGGGGACUACCUGCCAUCACCAUGUCAAACACCAGAAACCUGAUGCUGACACUAUAAUUUUUUUUUUUCUUUUCGUAUGAGGUGAGUCCAGAUCUUUGGCCCACUAGAAACAACAUGAAUUACCCUUCACAUCUCGAGAUGAAGACAGCCACAUGGGUGGAUUCAUCGAAGCACGGUACUGGGUAGCCUCUUCUUCAAGAAUGUCAAGAUCACAGGCAAGAGCCCUUACAGUCUCCAAUAAGGCAUGGUUUAAGAUGCCCAUGUAUGUUGCGAAGGAAAUGCGACCGGCCGCCCGUCUCUCUUUCCUGCUCCGAGAUCAUUUGAGGAUUGAAACAAGCCUGUAAGCUAAAACCUCGCAGCGACGCAACCGAUAUUUUCCAAGGAGAUCAAGGUAAUGAUCGGCGCUCUCUCUUUCGCCAUCAUCCAACCUCAGACAUUCCUAAUGGUGGCUAUGAAUUGUUCAUGAUAAGCGAGCAAUCAAUUUGGCAUAUUCCUGCUAAUUACAAGGUUGGAACCAAAAUCAUUUCUUUGUCUCAGGGAGUCAUCAUUUGUCCAUGUAUAAUUGAACCAAAAUAUCAGCUUAACCCCGAGAAGAGAGCCCAAUAUGUGGUGAAGCAAAUAAAAAUGAUGGUCCCUCGUUCCCACUGUUAUCAAGGGGAAUCAAAUGGCUGGGGAGUGAGAGCUCUAACCCCCUUUACUUUAUGGUCGUAUGAGACACUUGUUUCUUUAA